GGGGAAUUUUCCGCAAUGGGCGAAAGCCUGACGGAGCAAUACCGCGUGAGGGAGGAAGGCUCUUGGGUUGUAAACCUCUUUUCUUAGGGAAGAAAGAAUGACGGUACCUAAGGAAUAAGCAUCGGCUAACUCCGUGCCAGCAGCCGCGGUAAUACGGAGGAUGCAAGCGUUAUCCGGAAUGAUUGGGCGUAAAGCGUCCGCAGGUGGCGAGGCAAGUCUGCUGUCAAAGCUCAGGGCUCAACCCUGAACGGGCAGUGGAAACUGCUUGUGCUAGAGUAAGGUAGGGGCAGAGGGAAUUCCCAGUGUAGCGGUGAAAUGCGUAGAGAUUGGGAAGAACACCGGUGGCGAAAGCGCUCUGCUAGGCCAUUACUGACACUCAGGGACGAAAGCUAGGGGAGCGAAUGGGAUUAGAUACCCCAG
rnacentral:rRNA from 1 species